GACGAACGCUGGCGGCGUGCUUAACACAUGCAAGUCGAACGAAGUGGCGAACGGGUGCGUAACGCGUAAUCAACCUGCCCUUCAGAGGGGGACAACAGUUGGAAACGACUGCUAAUACCGCAUACUGAAGGAGGGGAUUGCGUCUGAUUAGCUAGGUGGAGGGGUAACGGCCCACCAAGGCGAUGAUCAGUAGCCGGGCUGGGAAGGUGGACGGCCACAUUGGGACUGAGACACUGCCCAGGCUCCUACGGGAGGCAGCAGUGGGGGAUCUUCCGCAAUGGACGAAAGUCUGGCGGAGCAACGCCGCGUGAGUGAUGACGGCCUUCGGGUUGGAAAGCUCUGUUAAUCGGGACGCGGUACCGGAAGAGAAAGCCACGGCUAACUACGUGCCAGCAGCCGCGGUAAUUC
rnacentral:rRNA from 1 species